AGCUGAAUAGCGCAGUGGUAGCGCAUCAGGCUCAUAUUUGCGGCAACGCAGGUGACCUGAGGGUCACUGGAUCGAAACCAGUUUCAGCUA